rnacentral:lncRNA from 1 species
CUCUGGGAAGGGGACGCCACGCUCCUUCUGCGCAUGUGCAGCCGUAGCCUCCUCGUUCGUCUUCUCAGGACUCCAGAGAACCGUUGGGGAACUUUGGGGUGUGCUCGGAAAAUGCAGGAGCUUCAGAGCAGAGACAAGAGCCCAGAAAGGAGCAGAUGCUAGAUUUGCAAGAUCAGAAGCAGGUCUUGAUCCUCCUGCCCAGAAUGAACCAGACUUGAUGAUGAUGCCACCUUCAGGAGCCACCACACUGUGUGACAGUGGGGCAUUUGGGCCGUCCCUGGGAAGUACAGAUGCGCUGCUGUCACACAUUGUGGUGGCUCCUGAAGGUGGCAUCAUCAUCAAGUCUGGUUCAUUCUGGGCAGGAGGAUCAAGACCUGCUUCUGAUCUUGCAAAUCUAGCAUCUGCUCCUUUCUGGGCUCUGGUCUCUGCUCUGAAGCUCUGGAGAGAGGUCUAAGGUCAGAGGGGCGCUCUCUUCCAGGUACGACUCCCUCACAGAGGCCCCCUGCUUCCUGCCUCACAAGGGCUGGUUUGUU